GCCGGGUGAGAUGGUGCACACCUAUAAUCCCAGCUACUUGGGAGGCUAAGGCAGGAGGAUAGUAAGGUGGAGGCCAGCCUCAGCAAUUUAGCGAGAACCUGUCUCAA
rnacentral:sRNA from 1 species